UAUAUUUGCACCUCAAUUCUGAGAGCCAGAAUUGUUUGCAUAAAAAUUAUUUAAACAAAUAUUGGAAUG
rnacentral:ncRNA from 1 species